rnacentral:rRNA from 1 species
GCAGAGUGAUUAGGCAAAUCCGGUCACUUAAUGCUGAGAUGUGAUGACGAACCACUAAGGUGGUGAAGCAAUUGAUGCCCCGCUUCCAGGAAAAGCCUCUAAGCUUCAGGUUACCAACAAUCGUACCCCAAACCGACACAGGUGGUCAGGUAGAGAAUACUCAGGCGCUUGAGAGAACUCGGGUGAAGGAACUAGGCAAAAUGGUGCCGUAACUUCGGGAGAAGGCACGCUGGCGGUAGGUAAAGUCCCUCGCGGACGGCGCUGAAGCCAGUCGAAGAUACCAGCUGGCUGCAACUGUUUAUUAAAAACACAGCACUGUGCAAACACGAAAGUGGACGUAUACGGUGUGACGCCUGCCCGGUGCUGGAAGGUUAAUUGAUGGGGUCAGCCGUAAGGCGAAGCUCCUGAUCGAAGCCCCAGUAAACGGCGGCCGUAACUAUAACGGUCCUAAGGUAGCGAAAUUCCUUGUCGGGUAAGUUCCGACCUGCACGAAUGGCGUAAUGAUGGCCAGGCUGUCUCCACCCGAGACUCAGUGAAAUUGAACUCGCUGUGAAGAUGCAGUGUACCCGCGGCAAGACGGAAAGACCCCGUGAACCUUUACUAUAGCUUGACACUGAACAUUGAGCCUUGAUGUGUAGGAUAGGUGGGAGGCUUUGAAGUGUGGACGCCAGUCUGCAUGGAGCCAACCUUGAAAUACCACCCUUUAACGUUUGAUGUUCUAACCUAGGCCCAUAAACUGGGUCGGGGACCGUGUCUGGUGGGUAGUUUGACUGGGGCGGUCUCCUCCUAAAGAGUAACGGAGGAGCACGAAGGUUGGCUAAGCAUGGUCGGACAUCAUGCGGUUAGUGCAAAGGCAUAAGCCAGCUUGACUGCGAGAGUGACGGCUCGAGCAGGUACGAAAGUAGGUCUUAGUGAUCCGGUGGUUCUGAAUGGAAGGGCCAUCGCUCAACGGAUAAAAGGUACUCCGGGGAUAACAGGCUGAUACCGCCCAAGAGUUCAUAUCGACGGCGGUGUUUGGCACCUCGAUGUCGGCUCAUCACAUCCUGGGGCUGAAGUAGGUCCCAAGGGUAUGGCUGUUCGCCAUUUAAAGUGGUACGCGAGCUGGGUUUAGAACGUCGUGAGACAGUUCGGUCCCUAUCUGCCGUGGGCGUUGGAAGAUUGAGAGGGGUUGCUCCUAGUACGAGAGGACCGGAGUGAACGCACCACUGGUGUUCGGGUUGUCAUGCCAAUG